UCAAGACACAACAAUCAAGCUUUGCAAGAACAUACUGUAAAAUGAAAUAAAAACCUAAAUAAACUGUUGGUAAAUAAAAAGAGGGCUCCUUUGUGCACAUGCGCAGAUCGGACUGAACCGCAUCUUUAAAAUAAACCUAUACAUAAUACAUUAAAAUUGCUAUUCCUAUAUAACAUGAUAAAAUUAUCAAACAUAACUAAAACUUUCAUCUUUGUUGUUCAUAAUUUAUUUCUUAUUUUUAUUUCUCAAGGAUAUAUACAAAAGGUUAAAGUGGAAGUCAAGUCCGUUCUGCGCAUCGGUUCUGCUCAUAACAAUGUGAGGACCCUCUCAUGUAAACAUUGCCCAAAUUUCGAAUGUUUCGAAUUUUUC